UAAGGAAUAUUGGUCAAUGGGCGGAAGCCUGAACCAGCCAUGCCGCGUGCAGGAAGACGGCCCUACGGGUUGUAAACUGCUUUUGUACCGGAAUAAACCCCCGAUCGUGAUCGGGGCUGAAUGUACGGUAAGAAUAAGGAUCGGCUAACUCCGUGCCAGCAGCCGCGGUAAUACGGAGGAUCCAAGCGUUAUCCGGAUUUAUUGGGUUUAAAGGGUGCGUAGGCGGCCUGUUAAGUCAGGGGUGAAAGACGGUAGCUCAACUAUCGCAGUGCCCUUGAUACUGAUGGGCUUGAAUGUACUAGAGGUAGGCGGAAUGUGACAAGUAGCGGUGAAAUGCAUAGAUAUGUCACAGAACACCAAUUGCGAAGGCAGCUUACUAUGGUAUGAUUGACGCUGAGGCACGAAAGCGUGGGGAUCAAACA
rnacentral:rRNA from 1 species